UCAUAUCUUCUAGUAAUUUUAUAGUUCAAUACCUUUGUCUUAUUUAAUUACCCCAUUCACCUAUAUUUACCAUGUUUUCAUGAACACCGAAGAAAAAUAAAAGUUAGGAUUCAUAAGUAUAAUAAAUACUCAAAAUGAAGACCAUAAAAAGGGCAUGUUCAUAUCUACAAAACACUAAACACAUGUUAACUAUAUAGUUAAAGGGAAUACUCAACAUGGAGUCCUCUAGAUGACAAAAUCAUCAACUACUUUAAAAAAAAAGUAUAUAGAGCCCUUUUUGAAUUCAUUGCUUCAUAAAAAGUAUAUAGAGCCCUCAAAGUAGAUUUCCUCUACCACUAGCAUGACUUCGUAUAGAGCCCUCAAAGUAGAUUACCUUUGCAACCACAUCUAUAUUUUCAAUAGGAUUCAUUGAUCCCGUUGAAUAAAUCAUUCUUCCACCAAUUUUGAGUAAAAAGAUAAACCUGACAAAAUCAAUAAGUUGUUGAGAUUGCUGCAAUAUAAGUCCCACUGAUUCAUUGAAGUACACUUAACAGGCUGUAGUCUUUUAUCUUCUUUGGAUUAUUCAUUAAUUAAUUAACAAUUAUGCAUCAUAUGUUUAAUUCACAAAACCAAUACAUUAAUAAUAUAAAUUACCACCACCAAAACAAUUCAAAAUGUAUGAUCUGAUCAACAUUUUGAAAUUCAUUCACUCGUUUAAAUUAUAUCAUCAUAUCAUCUAUAACUCAUAUGUCUAGAAAGACCCUUUGUGGUAAGGUUUAACAUUUUAAGAAUAACAACAUGAAUAAAGAUACUAUAUGGAUUUCGAAAUGCGUUUUCCCUUCUUUGCUUGUACAACUGAUGUAUCAUUCACCCUAGUUAGUUGUUCCAAUCCUUUCAUUAAAGGACAUUGAAAACAUUUUUUUUUAUCUUCAGCUUAACAAAUCUUUCCAUUUGUACAACUGAUGUAAUCUUCAGCAAACAAUCCCAAAUCAACAUAAAAGCCAAAAUAGAUACAAUAAACUAGAAGCUGACCAAAAGUCUUUCAAAUCUCAUCUGAAAUCCCCAAAUCAAGAACAAAAUUCUUCGAUUUAAUUUAGGAACAAGCCAAAAAAACCCAAAAUUUGCACAAAUUUCAUAUUACCCCAAAACAAUGGAUUUAAUAACAACAGUGGAAACCCCUAACCCUUAUUUGGGAAUUGUUUAAGUUCUGGAAAAUUAAAAAUCUCAUCUCCCUAUUCUUUUAACAAAUUAACACACUCAAAUAAACUAAAUCCAAGUGAGAUUUUGAAUUGUGUAUCGAUAGACAACAAACCCUUAGAACAUACCUUGGUUCCUGAUGCUGUGAGGGCUUGUCGUCGUCAAUCACGUUUGAAGGCAAAUAGCUCCAUGUGUGGUGGUUAGACGGGUUGGAGUUGAGAACAAGAAGAGGUUCGACGAGAUCGAGGUCGGAACAAUGACGAGAGGAUUUGACGAGAUAGAGCUUUGGUUGAGAGAAAGGACCACGUGUUGGG
rnacentral:lncRNA from 1 species